UACCAAAUUGUCGUCGGAGUGAAUUUUUUUUUGCCAAAUUGUCGCUAAGGGUCUUUUUUAUUCAUCAAUCUGGUCAAUUAACCAUAUGCAAAAUUAUAAAGAGUUGAAUGUUAAAGCCGUUAUUUUUUGUAAAAAAGAAAAGGAAAGUUAGACCAUUAUUUUUACUUUUUCAAAUGCCUAUGACUUUUACCUCCACCAAUUUCUAAAUCUAAACAUUACUCCGUACCAUUAUCAAUCAAAAAUCUCCAACUACACCCUAAAAUUCAAUGUUGAUCGACGAUAAUAGAAAUAAAUCCCCUAAACCAUCAAUUUGAUCUUUUAUUCUAGUUCAGGAGAACACAUCAAUGAAGAAUCAAAUCAAAGAUUUGAGAUUGAUGAAAAAUUUAACAAAUUCUCAGUUAAUUUGGGGCUCCUUUUUUCUUACAUUUGGCGUGGUUUCAUUUCUGGGUUUUCUUUAUUGUGCUGUCAUCUCCAAGCUCCUGCCGCCAUCACAAAACCCCUUAAUAUAUGCUAUACAGAGAGACAGAUAUUAUUGCUUCUUGGUCCCAUUGUCGCUUCCAAUCCUUGUGGUUGCUGUCUACUUCCAUUGGCUCAGCAUGAAACUCUUCAAGCAUGCAUGAUUUUUGCACCAGUCUUCAUAUCAUUUUUAUGCAGACUAAUUUCAUUGUUAUCAGUUACCAAGCUACUAGCAAUAUUUAAAUGUGGAUGGACUACUUGAAGACAGCAUCAGUUUGACCAUCUCCCCAGAAUGCAGAUCGAACCAUUCAUCAUCUCUAAUACUACAUAGUUGUGUUCUAUUGCUUUUAAGCAGUAACACUUCCUAUUUCAACUGUCUGGAAUUCUAGAUGCAAGCAUGAUCAAAUAGGUUAUCAGUCUGCUUAACUUUGAAAGGAACAUGGGACACUGUAAAAGCUGGAAAUAUAAUGUCAAUUGUCUUUCAUGAUUUACGCAUGAUUUUUUUAUGCACAUGCAUAUAUAUACUUCUUGGUGAGUGGUGAUGAGGUAAAUUACUUGGACAUGAAAGAGGAUAAGUAGCCAGGCAGUAGCAAGCUUAGAACAAUCAGAUCAACAUGGAGCAUGCAGAUUUGAGGCAGAAAUGAGCGGAAGAGGCAGGAAGAAGAAUAAUCAAUUGUGGAAAUCAGCACAGGUCGUGCUCGAUCCUUAGCUCAAGUGCUUUUGUGAAGUUCUAGAUGCUGCAUAUUUCUGCAAAUUCAAACGGUUAGUUCAUAUAAGUACAGAGUCUAAUGGAAGUGUAAUUGUGCCUUUAAUGACAUGGCAUGAUCAAUUGUAGAAUUGAAUCAUCUAUAUGAUGAUACCAUUAUCCUCACACUAAGCUUGGAACUAUUUUGAUCUUAUUCAUAUGGAAUAAAGGCAUUUGUACCUGAUUUGCAGGUACAGCAUCAAA